UGUGUAACCAGGAAGCAAGCAAAUAUAUAAAUUCUAAGUCACAUAAACUAUUUUUCAUCUGAAAAAAAAACCUUCAAUCGAUAAUCAAACCUGAGAAAAAAAGGCAAAAUGGCAAAAACUUUCGUGACGCUUUCCUCGUGGAAUAAAAGAAUGAUGGUAGGAGAGGAAUUUUCCUUAGAGGUUAAGUGUAAUAAAGCAAGCCAAGCUAAGGAAAUUGG